rnacentral:rRNA from 1 species
AACGAACGCUGGCGGCAUGCCUAACACAUGCAAGUCGAACGAGACCUUCGGGUCUAGUGGCGCACGGGUGCGUAACGCGUGGGAACCUGCCUUUAGGUUCGGAAUAACUCAGAGAAAUUUGAGCUAAUACCGGAUGAUGUCUUCUGACCAAAGAUUUAUCGCCUUUGGAUGGGCCCGCGUUGGAUUAGCUAGUUGGUGGGGUAAAGGCCUACCAAGGCGACGAUCCAUAGCUGGUCUGAGAGGAUGAUCAGCCACACUGGGACUGAGACACGGCCCAGACUCCUACGGGAGGCAGCAGUGGGGAAUAUUGGACAAUGGGCGAAAGCAUGAUCCAGCAAUGCCGCGUGAGUGAUGAAGGCCUUAGGGUUGUAAAGCUCUUUUACCCGAGAUGAUAAUGACAGUAUCGGGAGAAUAAGCUCCGGCUAACUCCGUG